rnacentral:rRNA from 1 species
GACGAACGCUGGCGGCGUGCUUAACACAUGCAAGUCGAACGGAAAGGCCCUGCUUUUGUGGGGUGCUCGAGUGGCGAACGGGUGAGUAACACGUGAGUAACCUGCCCUUGACUUUGGGAUAACUUCAGGAAAUUGGGGCUAAUACCGGAUAGGAGCUCCUGCUGCAUGGUGGGGGUUGGAAAGUUUCGGCGGUUGGGGAUGGACUCGCGGCUUAUCAGCUUGUUGGUGGGGUAGUGGCUUACCAAGGCUUUGACGGGUAGCCGGCCUGAGAGGGCGACCGGCCACAUUGGGACUGAGAUACGGCCCAGACUCCUACGGGAGGCAGCAGUGGGGAAUAUUGCACAAUGGGCGGAAGCCUGAUGCAGCAACGCCGCGUGCGGGAUGACGGCCUUCGGGUUGUAAACCGCUUUCGCCUGUGACGAAGCGUGAGUGACGGUAAUGGGUAAAGAAGCACCGGCUAACUACGUG